ACGAACGCUGGCGGCGUGCUUAACACAUGCAAGUCGCACGGAAAGGCCCUGCUUUUGUGGGGUGCUCGCGUGGCGAACGGGUGAGUAACACGUGAGUAACCUGCCCUUGACUUUGGGAUAACUUCAGGAAACUGGGGCUAAUACCGGAUAGGAGCUCCUGCUGCAUGGUGGGGGUUGGAAAGUUUCGGCGGUUGGGGAUGGACUCGCGGCUUAUCAGCUUGUUGGUGGGGUAGUGGCUUACCAAGGCUUUGACGGGUAGCCGGCCUGAGCGGGUGACCGGCCACAUUGGGACUGAGAUACGGCCCAGACUCCUACGGGAGGCAGCAGUGGGGAAUAUUGCACAAUGGGCGGAAGCCUGAUGCAGCAACGCCGCGUGCGGGAUGACGGCCUUCGGGUUGUAAGCCGCUUUCGCCUGUGACGAAGCGUGAGUGACGGUAAUGGGUAAAGAAGCACCGGCUAACUACGUG
rnacentral:rRNA from 1 species